rnacentral:lncRNA from 1 species
AGGAAGGAUGUGGAUCCUCCGCCGGGAAGUAAAAUGGGAACAGCGACCAAGCUGGCACUGCAUGCCGACCUCCUCUCCCCGCGAGCAGCUCAGGUGCUCCAAAGGUUGGAGCCCCACCUCCAUCAGCAAGAGGCUUUUGCUGACACCGCGGAAAGAAACCGGCAGAAGCUGGAGCUGAAGCGGCAGCUCCCCUGUGCUCGAUGCUCGUACCGCUCCAGAGGGGAAGGUGCUGGCAACAGUGCUGGAGCUGUCGGCAAGGGGGCUGGGAAGCUGUCCGGAUUUCCACCUGUGAAUGGCAAAUCGUAGAAUCAAAGACUUGUAGAAUGGCCUGGGUUGAAAAGGACCUUGAAGAUCAUCUAGUUUCCACCCCCCUGCAAUGUGCAGGGUUACCAGCCACCAGUCCGGGCUGCCCAGAGCCACAUCCAGCCUGGCCUUGAAUGCCUCUGGGGAUGGGGCAUCCACCACCUCUCGGCAGGCUGUUCCGGUGCGUCACCAGCCUCCGUGGAGUGAAGAACUCCCCCUAAUAUCUAACCAAAUUCUUCCCCCCUUUCUCAGUUGCAAACCAUUCCCCCUUGUCGUAUCACUGUCCACCCUCGUAUAAACAGCCGUUUCCCCUCCAGUUUAUUUCUUCCCUUCAAGCAUUGGAAGGCCGCAGUGAGGUCUCCCUGGAGCCUUCUCCUCUCCAAACUAAACAAGCCCAGUUCCAUCAACCUUUCUUCACAGGAGAGGUGCUCCAGCCCUCUGAUCAUCUUUGUGGCCCUCCUCUGGACUUGAUCCAACAGGUCUGCGUCUUUCCUGUACUGGGGGCCCCAGGCCUGGACGCAGAGUAUCCCAGAUAAAAAUAAAGAGAAUUGGCGUUCUUU